GUAAUAUAUAGAUAACGUGCCUCUUAGUCUGGGAUAGCCAUUGGAAACGAUGAUUAAUACCGGAUACUCCUUCUAACUCUAAUGUUAGUCGGGAAAGUUUUUCGCUAAGAGAUCGGUCUAUAUCCCAUCAGUUAGUUGGUAAGGUAACGGCUUACCAAGGCAAUGACACAUAGCGGGUUUGAGAGGAUGAUCCGCCACACUGGUACUGAGACACGGACCAGACUCCUACGGGAGGCAGCAGUGAGGAAUAUUGCACAAUGGGGGAAACCCUGAUGCAGCAACGCCGCGUGGAGGAUGACGCAUUUCGGUGUGUAAACUCCUUUUAUAAGAGAAGAAAAUGACGGUAUCUUAUGAAUAAGUCCCGGCUAACUCCGUGCCAGCAGCCGCGGUAAUACGGAGGGGACAAGCGUUAUUCGGAAUCACUGGGCGUAAAGGACGCGUAGGCGGGUUAUUAAGUCGGGUGUGAAAUCCAAUGGCUCAACCAUUGAACUGCAUUCGAAACUGGUGACCUAGAGUAUGGAAGGGGCAGGUGGAAUUAGUGGUGUAGGGGUAAAAUCCGUAGAUAUCACUAGGAAUACCGAAAGCGAAGGCGACCUGCUGGGACAUUACUGACGCUGAGGCGUGAAAGCGUGGGGAGCAAACAGGAUUAGAUACCCUGGUAGUCCACGCCCUAAACGAUGAAUGCUAGUCGUCGGGGAGCUUGUCUCUUCGGUGAUGCACUUAACAGAUUAAGCAUUCCGCCUGGGGAGUACGGUCGCAAGAUUAAAGCUCAAAGGAAUAGACGGGGACCCGCACAAGUGGUGGAGCAUGUGGUUUAAUUCGAAGAUACGCGAAGAACCUUACCUAGCCUUGACAUUGAUAGAAUACCCUAGAGAUAGAGUAGUGCCUUUCGGGGAACUUGAGAACAGGUGCUGCACGGCUGUCGUCAGCUCGUGUCGUGAGAUGUUGGGUUAAGUCCCGCAACGAGCGC
rnacentral:rRNA from 1 species